rnacentral:rRNA from 1 species
CCUACGGAGGGCAGCAGUGGGGAAUAUUGGACAAUGGGCGAAAGCCUGAUCCAGCCAUGCCGCGUGUGUGAAGAAGGCCUUCGGGUUGUAAAGCACUUUCAGUGGGGAAGAAAGCCUUGGGGCUAAUACCCUCGAGGAAGGACAUCACCCACAGAAGAAGCACCGGCUAACUCCGUGCCAGCAGCCGCGGUAAUACGGAGGGUGCGAGCGUUAAUCGGAAUUACUGGGCGUAAAGCGCGCGUAGGCGGUCUGAUAAGCCGGUUGUGAAAGCCCCGGGCUCAACCUGGGAACGGCAUCCGGAACUGUCAGGCUAGAGUGCAGGAGAGGAAGGUAGAAUUCCCGGUGUAGCGGUGAAAUGCGUAGAGAUCGGGAGGAAUACCAGUGGCGAAGGCGGCCUUCUGGACUGACACUGACGCUGAGGUGCGAAAGCGUGGGUAGCAAACAGGAUUAGAUACCCUAGUAGUC